rnacentral:rRNA from 1 species
GACGAAGGAUGCAAGCGUUAUCCGGAUUCAUUGGGUUUAAGGGAGCGUAGGCGGACUUAUAAGUCAGUGGUGAAAUCUCUGGGCUUAACUCAGAAACUGCCAUUGAUACUGUAGGUCUAGAGUACAUUUGCUGUGGGCGGAAUAUGACAUGUAGUGGUGAAAUACUUAGAUAUGUCAUAGAACACCGAUUGCGAAGGCAGCUCACAAAAAUGUAACUGACGCUGAGGCUCGAAAGUGCGGGGAUCAAACAGG